GUGCUCCCUUUGGCAGCACAUAUUCUAAAAUUGGAACGAUACAGAGAAGAUUAGCAUGGCCCCUGCACAAGGAUGGCAUGCAAAUUCGUGAGCGUUCCAUAUUUUU
ensembl:snRNA U6 U6 spliceosomal RNA